rnacentral:rRNA from 1 species
UACGUAGGGUGCAAGCGUUGUCCGGAAUUAUUGGGCGUAAAGAGCUCGUAGGCGGUCUGUCGCGUCGGGUGUGAAAAUCCAGGGCUUAACCCUGGACCUGCAUUCGAUACGGGCAGACUAGAGUUCGGUAGGGGAGACUGGAAUUCCUGGUGUAGCGGUGGAAUGCGCAGAUAUCAGGAGGAACACCGAUGGCGAAGGCAGAUCUCUGGGCCGUAACUGACGCUGAGGAGCGAAAGCGUGGGGAGCGAACAGG